UGGGGAAUAUUGGACAAUGGGCGAAAGCCUGAUCCAGCCAUGCCGCGUGUGUGAAGAAGGCCUUUUGGUUGUAAAGCACUUUAAGUGGGGAGGAAAAGCUUAUGGUUAAUACCCAUAAGCCCUGACGUUACCCACAGAAUAAGCACCGGCUAACUCUGUGCCAGCAGCCGCGGUAAUACAGAGGGUGCAAGCGUUAAUCGGAAUUACUGGGCGUAAAGCGCGCGUAGGUGGUUAUUUAAGUCAGAUGUGAAAGCCCCGGGCUUAACCUGGGAACUGCAUCUGAUACUGGAUAACUAGAGUAGGUGAGAGGGGAGUAGAAUUCCAGGUGUAGCGGUGAAAUGCGUAGAGAUCUGGAGGAAUACCGAUGGCGAAGGCAGCUCCCUGGCAUCAUACUGACACUGAGGUGCGAAAGCGUGGGUAGCAAACAGGAUUAGAUACCCUGGUAGUCCACGCCGUAAACGAUGUCUACCAGUCGUUGGGUCUUUUAAAGACUUAGUGACGCAGUUAACGCAGUAAGUAGACCGCCUGGGGAGUACGGCCGCAAGGUUA
rnacentral:rRNA from 1 species